AGAUUGAACGCUGGCGGCAGGCCUAACACAUGCAAGUCGAGCGGCAGCACGGGUACUUGUACCUGGUGGCGAGCGGCGGACGGGUGAGUAAUGCCUAGGAAUCUGCCUGAUAGUGGGGGAUAACGUUCGGAAACGGACGCUAAUACCGCAUACGUCCUACGGGAGAAAGUGGGGGAUCUUCGGACCUCACGCUAUCAGAUGAGCCUAGGUCGGAUUAGCUAGUUGGUAGGGUAAAGGCCUACCAAGGCUACGAUCCGUAACUGGUCUGAGAGGAUGCUCAGUCACACUGGAACUGAGACACGGUCCAGACUCCUACGGGAGCAGCAGUGGGAAUAUGGACAAUGGGCAAAGCCUAGACUCCAGCCAUCGCCGCGUGUGUAGGAAGAAGGUCUUCGGAUUAGUAAAGCUAACGUUUAAGGUGGGAGGAAAGG
rnacentral:rRNA from 1 species